UACGUAGGGUGCAAGCGUUGUCCGGAAUUAUUGGGCGUAAAGAGCUCGUAGGCGGUUUGUCGCGUCUGCUGUGAAAUCCCGAGGCUCAACCUCGAACUUGCGGUGGGUACGGGCAGACUAGAGUGUGGUAGGGGAGACUGGAAUUCCUGGUGUAGCGGUGAAAUGCGCAGAUAUCAGGAGGAACACCGAUGGCGAAGGCAGGUCUCUGGGCCACUACUGACGCUGAGAAGCGAAAGCAUGGGGAGCGAACAGG
rnacentral:rRNA from 1 species